AGAGAACGCCGGCGCAAGCCGGUUCUACCCACACACACCCGUGAACCGUUGGAGCAGCGAACGUGCCCUCGUGGUAUCUAAUAGCGUCCGAACCUGGAGCAGCGAACGUGCCCGGCCUCGUGUCGGGUACCUAAUAGCGUCCGCCCUUACAAAACAUCUAGAAAUGUAACGAACGUAGUCUUAUUUUAACAAAUA
rnacentral:misc_RNA from 1 species